rnacentral:rRNA from 1 species
GACGAACCGUGCGAACGUUGUUCGGAAUCACUGGGCGUAAAGCGCACGUAGGCGGCUUUUUAAGUCAGGGGUGAAAUCCUGGAGCUCAACUCCAGAACUGCCUUUGAUACUGAGAAGCUCGAGUCCGGGAGAGGUGAGUGGAACUGCGAGUGUAGAGGUGAAAUUCGUAGAUAUUCGCAAGAACACCAGUGGCGAAGGCGGCUCACUGGCCCGGUACUGACGCUGAGGUGCGAAAGCGUGGGGAGCAAACAGG